rnacentral:rRNA from 1 species
AUUGAACGCUGGCGGCAUGCUUUACACAUGCAAGUCGAGCGGCAGCGCGGGGGCAACCCUGGCGGCGAGCGGCGAACGGGUGAGUAAUGCAUCGGAACGUGUCCCGUAGUGGGGGAUAACGCCGCGAAAGCGGCGCUAAUACCGCAUAUGCUCUACGGAGGAAAGGGGGGGACCCGCAAGGGCCUCCCGCUAUGGGAGCGGCCGAUGUCCGAUUAGCUUGUUGGUGAGGUAAAGGCUUACCAAGGCGACGAUCGGUAGCUGGUCUGAGAGGAUGAUCAGCCACACUGGGACUGAGACACGGCCCAGACUCCUACGGGAGGCAGCAGUGGGGAAUUUUGGACAAUGGGGGCAACCCUGAUCCAGCCAUGCCGCGUGCGGGAAGAAGGCCUUCGGGUUGUAAACCGCUUUUGUCCGGAAAGAAAAGGCAUCCCCUAAUACGGGGUGUCCUUGACGGUACCGGAAGAAUAAGCACCGGCUAACUACGUGCCAGCCGCCGCCGUAAAAC